GCGCUCGAAAGGCAAGUCUCCCGAAAGGGAGUACACGCAAAGCUGCAGAUCUAAGGGGAAACCUAUGAUGGCUGGGCUGCCGUA
rfam:Rheinheimera sp. A13L DRAFT__contig00004, whole genome shotgun sequence.